ACGAAAGCGCUACUCUUCCGGAUGUGAAUAUAAGUAAUUAUUCCAUAUUAUUUUAAAAUAUAUUUGUAUAAGUAUUUACGUCUAUCCUGCAGUAAGUUUUCAAUUCAGUGGUGGCCAUGGAGCGUAUCAACCUGGAGUCGCCACGAUGGGACCAGACCACGUACAUGGGCCGUGCCCGCCACUUUAUCAGCAUCACCAAUCCACUGAACGUGUUCGCCACCUCAGCUGAACUGGAUGCCGCCAAGGACAUUAUCAGCCGCUACAGAGCUGGCGAGCCGCUGAAGCUGUCUGAGGACGAGCUGUGGCGGGCCAAGACGCUCUACGACUCGGCCUUCCACCCGGACACGGGCGAGAAGAUGCUCCUCAUCGGCCGCAUGUCGGCCCAGGUGCCGUGCAACAUGACCAUCACCGGCUGCAUGAUGACCUUCUACAAGACGACGCCGGCCGUCGUGUUCUGGCAGUGGGUCAACCAGUCGUUCAACGCCCUGGUCAACUACACCAACCGCAGCGGCGACUCUCCCAUCUCGCCCAAGCAGCUGGGUACAUCCUAUGUGCUGGCCACGGGAGGAGCGCUCACCACGGCACUCGGUCUCAACAGCCUGGUUAAGACGGCGCCGCCGCUGGUCGGCAAACUGGUGCCGUUCGCUGCUGUAGCGGCCGCCAACUGCGUCAACAUACCCAUGAUGAGGUCCAAGGAGAUGGCCGACGGUAUCCAGCUGUUUGACGCCGAGGGCCGGUGCGUGGGCCGCUCGCCGUCUGUGGCCAAAUGGGCCAUCGCCAUGGUGACUGUGUCCAGAAUCGGGAUGGCCAUACCGUCCAUGGUGGGCAUCCCCAUCAUCAUGACUAAGCUGGAGAAGAGAGGCUUCAUCAAGCGCUUCCCCUACCUCAACGCGCCGCUGCAGGUGCUGCUGUGCGGGUUCUUCCUGACAUUCGCCACGCCGCUGUGCUGUGCGCUCUUCCCGCAAAAGUCGGCCGUCGACGUGACCCGACUGGAGCCGGAGGUGCAGGAGGCGAUCAACAAGCUGCCCAACGCGCCGAAGGUGGUCUACUACAACAAGGGCCUGUAGACGCGGCCGCGGCUCCGGCGCUCACCCCAUCUGACCCGGUCAGACCCCCGACUCAGAGUGUCCUGGCACUGAACAGCGCCCCGGUGCAUGUGUCAACUCGUGGAGCAGCUGAGAAAUGAGUGGGACUCCCCGCACCGCGUAGGCUGUAGCUAGGUGGAGCCGGCUGGGGUGUGCUUAUGUUUACGUAGGGUGAUAGUCGCUCGGCGUAUAGUUGGACGGGAAAUGUGAUGGAUUAUACCAUAUAAUCAUAUUCUAGGAGGGGCCGUUGGCGUGAUGGCUUGGUCGGUCAUAGGGAUGCUUGUUAGUGUUGCGAUAGAGCAGAAUCAGAAAUGGCAUUUCCGAUAAUCCAAUCAUCCCACUAAUCGAUCAAAAGACAAUAAGGAGGAGCUAUUCACAAGAAAGUGCUUCUCUGUGAAGCACUUUCUUAGAGACCGAGUUUUCUUAAGUAGACCGAGUAAAGAUACCCGGCACCCACACAGUAGGCUUUCAAAGGCUCUGACCAUGACAUAUUCAGGCAUGGUCUAAUUUUGGUGCGAUUCACGAUUGGUUCAGUCGCUGUUCUCGGGUGUUGAAUGCCACAUCCGAUGGGCAUGCUUGUGGCUGGAACCGGGCGUUGAUGUAGCGGGAACUAGUGGGUGAGCUCAGGAGCAGGAUGGGUGUCGCGGAAUUUGUGCAAUACGGAGCGCUCUGACGGGGCUGUUGAAUGAGCUGGUGAGGACUGCGACGUCCUCUGAGGAACGGCGCCGGGGGAGGAGCGGAAACUGUUGGUGUGGUGGCGGGCGACCCAGCGGCGGAAGGUGGCGCGGCGAGAGACAGGGUCAGCUACUGAGGGCAUCGACUGGAACGGAGAGAACACGGAAAUGAACACUGUGGUGCUAAAAGCACGAUGAAAACGACAUGUGAAAACGGUGGCUAGUCAGCAUAAUGUAUAAGAUCUGAUUCUGGUCGUUCCGGCGGGGAACUAAAAACUAAUGAUCUGGUUAGACAGCACGCACACGCACUCAGUCUUCCGAUGGCUCGUCUAGCGGCAAAGUAUAUUACUUUAGCCGGCCUCUGGUGUGUAUCAGUUGGAACAUAACCGGCUCGAGUGUGUAGAGUUCACCAGUGUGCCAUAGCAGGAUGGUACACCCCAAUCCCUGAAUUUGGACGCGGAGCAUAUCGCUCGUGCGGACGUGGGCUUCUGGCACCCCGGUAGUUAGCUGUGCUGCUUGUGCUGUAACGAUUCGGUAAUUGUGGCAGUGUGUCGCAGUCGGACCAUCUGUACUGCGUGGCGGGAGCCUGUGGGUGACGUGGAUGGACUAAUGCUGACUGAGUGAUUGGAUGUAAGCUCCUGGGCAUUGGGUUUGUAUUUGUCUAGUUUUCGAUUUUCGGAAGGUCAGGAUUGGUGCCAUUUUGUUCGUGACGUGUUGAACGAUUGUUUUGUGGACCUUCAGCUCAGGAAUGUGGGAAUUCGACGCUGAAUUCAUUAUAAAACUGCCUAAACCUGCCAGCAAACGUAUAACGUAAUGCUAAUGCAUUCUUUGAUAUGUGCAAUGUGCAUCGUACAAUAUGCACUCAUUUAAUGCGCAACUUGUAAUUUGAGAGCGAGAGCAGGUGGCAUUCAUAUCACAUCGUGCGAUUUUUAAACCCGCGACGGAUGCUCGUCUUAACCCUGCCACUAAUAUGGGGUAGCCAGGAGCCUGCCACUAAUAGGGUUAAUCCGUCAGUUAUUACGUUGGAAAUGCUAUCGAUUGUUCCAUGUUGAUGGUGAUGUGUAUAUAAUGAUAUGCAUGAUUUAGUCAGUAUCAACCUCAGACCCGGGCUAGAGCUCAGCGGAGCGCUCACGGCGGAAGUAUUCGUUUGACGAUAUGUACCCGUUAGUUCAUUUUGUAGACGUCAGCUAUUAGUAUUCCAUCGUGCCAUGCGUUCCAUCUGCCAUCUGUGUCGAUUAUCUAAUGGUGCAAUAAUACAUCUGGAUCGAUGGAA
rnacentral:misc_RNA from 1 species